rnacentral:lncRNA from 1 species
GAGAGAAGGGCGCGGGAGGAGGGGUAGAGGAGGAGAUGCAGAAAUACCAGUUGUACCAAUUUUUUCUUAAAAGUUAUUUUUCAAUUUAAAUACUUUUAAAACAAACAAACAAAAAUUCCCCAAGCUGAGUGUCAAUUCCAAAAAGUUUUCAAGGAGGAGCAGCGUGGGGGCCGGGCGCGGAAUUGGGGACGGUGUAGGUGGGGUAAGGUCCACUCUCUCCCACCCUGCAUGCUGCGCCCCCACUCGCCCACGCAAAUCCUCUCCUCUCCCGUGCGCGCGCCGUCACGCCCGGGGGCUCCCCGACACUCACUCCACUCCCAUCCUGGGACGCCGAUGGGCCUGGGUGGCCGGGCCGGGGAAGUUCGGGUGCUCCCGCUCCCCCCACUCCCAAUCUGCGGACUCCCGCCUCAGUGCUCUUUCCUCUGUCUCCCCUUGCCCACUUUUCCGCUCAAGGUGUCAUUAGCAGAGGGAGGUGGGGGCCGCGCCAACCCCGUGCUCCUGGCGUCGCCCUCAGCCAGGGAGAAGCCGGGGAGGGAGUGAGGGCGGGGAUUGCGUGGGAGCGCCUGGUCUUGACUACAGGCGGCGAUCUGUGCCAAACGCCACGACCCCUUCCUCCCCCAGCCCCCCGUCCCGCCAGCGGCCAUCCCUCUCUUUCUAGUGUGUCUUGGCUCAUCCACCUCGCUCCCCUUCUCCACUUCCCAGCCCCCAGCACGUUGGGGGUGGUGGUGAGGUUUGGUUCGAAUUUGGAGAAGCCAAGGAGGGGCAGGAGGAGGGGAGUCUCGGGCGGGGGGCGCACUCCGUGCCAUCCCCGCCUCGCAGUAGGAGCUGCUGCUGGAGUGACGGCGGUGCAUGCCCGCCUUCCCUCCGCCGUCACCCCUCCCUCCGCCACCCUGCGCUGUGCGCCUCCCGCAGACCCCAGCAGCGAGGCAGGGCUUGCGGAAGGUGGGGGAAGACAAUUUUGCAGGUGCGGGAAGUGGGGGAGGGAGAAGCCAGGUGUGCAGAGGCGCCUGCGGUGGGCGGGAGCGCAGCUCUACCUAGCCCAGAUUCCCUGGCCCUCCACCCCCCUCCCCCCCCUCCCC